rnacentral:rRNA from 1 species
AUGAAGACCUGUAUGAAUGGCACAACGAGGGCUUAACUGUCUCCUUUUUCCAGUCAAUGAAAUUGAUCUCCCCGUGCAGAAGCGGAGAUAACCCCAUAAGACGAGAAGACCCUGUGGAGCUUUAGACACUAUGACAGACCAUAUCAACAUGCCCUAAAGAAACAAAACCUAUUGGAUUCCUGCCGUGAUGUC